UCUCUUAGCAGUGAUAAAUUAUACUGAAAUUGGAAGGAAUCAGAAAAGAAAAGUUUGGCACUGUACAAGAAUGACACACAAAUUCUGGAAACAUUUCAAAUUGUU
ensembl:snRNA U6 U6 spliceosomal RNA